UACGGGGGGGGCAAGCGUUGUUCGGAAUUACUGGGCGUAAAGGGCUCGUAGGCGGCCAACUAAGUCAGACGUGAAAUCCCCAGGCUCAACCUGGGAACUGCGUCUGAUACUGGAUGGCUUGAAUCCGGGAGAGGGAUGCAGAAUUCCAGGUGUAGCGGUGAAAUGCGUAGAUAUCUGGAGGAAUACCGGUGGCGAAGGCGGCAUCCUGGACCGGCAUUGACGCUAAAGCACGAAAGCCAGGGGAGCAAACGGG
rnacentral:rRNA from 1 species